AUUGAACGCUGGCGGCAUGCUUUACACAUGCAAGUCGAACGGUAACAGGCCUUCGGGUGCUGACGAGUGGCGAACGGGUGAGUAAUGCAUCGGAACGUGCCCAGAGGUGGGGGAUAACGCAGCGAAAGCUGUGCUAAUACCGCAUGUGAUCUGAGGAUGAAAGCGGGGGACCAGGCAGCAAUGUUUGGCCUCGCGCCUUUGGAGCGGCCGAUGUCAGAUUAGGUAGUUGGGGGGGUAAAGGCCUACCAAGCCGACGAUCUGUAGCUGGUCUGAGAGGACGACCGCCAAACCGGGGAUUGGACACGGGCCCAACCCCCAACGGGGGGCAGAGGGGGGAAAUUUGGACAAAGGGGGGAAACCCUAUCCCGCCAAACCCGGUGGGGGAAAAAGGCCCUUCGGGUUGAAACCCGUUUUUGUCGGGAAGAAAAAGGUUCGGGCAAAACCCUGGGGCUGAGACGGGACCCGAAAAAAAAAGCACCGGCUAAUUACGU
rnacentral:rRNA from 1 species